CGUAAGUGUUUUUUGAAUUUUCUAUUCAGUCGGUGGGGCGAAGGGCGGCGGCCUUUGUCCUAGCCGGGGAGGGGAUUGGAAGGGGUUGGCCGAGGCGGGCGGAGACGGCGGAGGGAAGGGGCCUCCUCGCCGGUGAUUAGCGGUUGGUCGGCCAACCGGAGAUGGAGCGUGGCGCUUGAUUGCUGGAGGCGUGCCUCACAGAGAGGGCCGCGGGCUGGAGAGGAACUCAGCGGAGCUCCCCGUCGUGCUCGCCGCCAACAAGCACCCAUGCUGGGGGAGGUAGUAUUUGCCGGCGUCGGUGGGGCGCAAGGUCCGACUGUGCUGACCGUCGCUCAUCGCGUCUAAAUUUUGGGGUUUGGUUGUCUGAGGACUUUGAAAGCUGAGUGGUAACUUAGUUUUGAAUAUGUUCAAUUUAUCACUAUAGUUCUGUUUCAAAAAAAAUAUCACUAUAGUCUAGUUCACUGUCAUGGUCAGUUAUUCAUUUAUCACUACAGUCUAGUUCUUCUUAUGUUUCAUUUUUCAUUCAUCACUCAUUUUUACAAGGCUAUGAUGUGGAUAUUACCAACACCUCCAUGUAUGUUUUAUGAUAGCAUGAUAGUUGUCCUGUUCAGUUAAACAUUUCAUUUCUUCUUUAGUUUGUGUAUGAAUUCAGUUUUUUCCUGCUUCAGAUACAAACUUAGUCCUUUUAGCUGAUAGAAUUAUAUAAACUUUAGCUUUUUCUUAGAUUUGUUUUUCUCAGUUAGUCAUUACUUGUUGCAUUCAUUUCCUUUUUUAGUCUAUCAGUUUUUAGUCAAUCAGUCUGAGUCCCUAGUGCUUACUCACUCUGUCAUUUUCCAAUGAGUCCUGAUCAUUUUCUUACCUUUAUUUUUGUACCUGUAGGUUAUAUUUCACAUCUCCGAGCCAAAGUUGUCCCACACUUACUCAACAAGUUCUCCCACACUAGUGUCAUUUUAAGUACUCUCAGGGGUUAGUGUCAUUUUUUAGUUAUGUUAUUAGUUUCAGUGUUAGGUGUCAUUUUGUUCAGUUUUGUGUGUUACCACAUAGGUAGGUUAGUUAGUAUUCACUGUUCAGUCUUAAUUUAGUAUUCAUUGUUUCAGACCUAAGUCUACCACAGCCUACAACCACGAAAAAUUUGUUCUGCUUAUCUAGACUGUUUUCUUAUUUAUGAGUAUUCAGACCUUCAGCUACUUCAGUCCUUGUUCAAUCUUCUCGAAUAAAGCUGUCCAUCCUAGUUGCUUAGUUUGUCAAGAAAUCCCAGGUAGGUUAGCAAGUUUGUUCAUACAGUUUUCAGUUUAUCUGCAUUUUGUCAUCUUACUAAUUUGGCCUUCAUAUUUAUUGCUUCACUUCAUUUUUUACAGAUCAGAUGCACGCUGGAAAUGGACCAAAUGGGGCGUCAGUGGUGUUGAAUCCCAUCACAACAGAUACAUGCUUUUGACGCUCAAAGAUACAACUCAAGGAGGAAGAUCAUUUUUUGUGGGUCUGCACUAAUAAGCCUACUGACACCUGUGUCGCUUCCAGCGGUUGUAGCAGCCAAGGAGUGGUUGUUUUACGAGGGCGGAGUUUAAGAAACAACUUUUUGAAGAUAAUUGUUGUCAUAUGCUAUUCUGGCAAGAUCUCUGUUCCCAUCAUUGUUUUUUAUUGAAGUUACUGUCAGGUUU